rnacentral:tRNA from 1 species
AGUCCCUUAGUGUAGCGGUCAAGCAUUGCGGGUUUUGGUCCCGUAGACCCAGGUUCGAAUCCUGGAGGGACUA